GUGAAUUUCCUUUUCACCCUGUCUACAGUGAUUUCAGGGAGCUACUUGUGAUGUCCUUUCCGAUGUCAGAAUUAAGGGUAGGGCAGAGGCAGAUGUAAGUACAGUACUGCCCACUCCCCUUCAAAGUCUAGUGGGUAGGCCUGGAAGCUUAUUGAGCAAAUAUGAUUUUAGUCACAAGUAGACAGGAUAGUCUGGACUAAUAAUGAAAAAUGUUAACACUACCUUGGAUUUAGAGUACUCUUCCUUUGAAGGUGUAAUUAAUUAAUACUUCCUUUGCAGAUGUAAUUCAUUAAUGCUUCACUUUGGUUUUGUUUUAGUACUUCACUUAUCCAAGGUAGGUUAAGCAAAGAAGUAUUAUUCAUUACACUGAAGUAUUAUUCAUUACACUGAAGUGAACAGUUCAGGCCUCUUCUGUCACAUCAGUUUAAAUAAGUACAACAAAGAUUUAUGACUUCAGCUGGGCGAAGUGGCUCAUGCCCGUAAUCCCAGCACUUUGGAAAGCUGAGGUGGGUGGAUGGCUUGAGCCCAGGAGUUUGAGACCAGUACUAGGCAACAUAGGUGGACCUCCGUCUUUACCAAAAAUUUAAAAAUUAACUAGGCAUAGUGGUGUGCACCUGUAGUUAGUCUCAGCUACUUGGGAGUCUGAGGUGGGAGGAUUGCCUGAGCCUGGGAGUUGAAGGCUGCAGUGAGCCAUGAUCCUGCCACUGCACUCCCAUCCUGGACAACAAAGCAAGACACUGUUGCAAAAAAAAAAAAAAGAAAAGAAAAAGAAAAAAGAAUUAUCAACUCUUACUGUCCCUGAACAUUGAAGAUCAAGAGAUCAAUGACAUUCUAAAUGUUGGAAUUUACAGUCUUCCAGUCUCCUGGACCACAAUGUACAGUUAAUAGAUCUUUCCAAGCUUUAUGGUACUGAAUCCCUAAUUAGCAUUCCACUGAAGAGCUCUUAAGGAACUGAAAAGGAACUGCUGCGUACCACUCCUGCUGAUGGGUAGGUUUACAUAGGGUAAUUUCUUGGAUCCAAAACAAAAUCUGUGUAUUUAUUUCUUUGAAAACAUCAUUUGUCGACCGUCCUUUCACUG
rnacentral:lncRNA from 1 species